CGUGCUUAGGAUGUUGGCAUAAUGGCUUUAAGCGACCCGUCUUGAAACACGGACCAAGGAGUCUAACAUGCUUGCGAGUGUUCGGGUGGAAAACCCUUGCGCGCAAUGAAAGUGAAAGUUAGGAGCCCUUCUCUCUGUGGAGGGGUGCACUGACGCCCGGCCCUGAAGUUCUCUGACGGUGCUGCGGUAGAGCAAGUACGUUGGGACCCGAAAGAUGGUGAACUAUGCCUGAAUAGGGCGAAGCCAGAGGAAACUCUGGUGGAGGCUCGUAGCGAUUCUGACGUGCAAAUCGAUCGUCAAAUUUGGGUAUAGGGG
rnacentral:rRNA from 1 species